CCUACGGGAGGCAGCAGUGGGGAAUAUUGCACAAUGGGGGCAACCCUGAUGCAGCAACGCCGCGUGAGUGAAGAAGUAUCUCGGUAUGUAAAGCUCUAUUAGCAGGGAAGUAGAAAGACGCUACCUGACUAAGAAGCCCCGGCUAACUACGUGACAGCAGCCGCGGUAAUACGUAGGGGGCAAGCGUUAUCCGGAUUUACUGGGUGUAAAGGGAGCGUAGACGGCAUAGCAAGUCUGAAGUGAAAGCCCGUGGCUCAACCGCAGAACUGCUUUGGAAACUGUUAAGCUUGAGUACUGGAGAGGCAAGCGGAAUUCGUAGUGUAGCGGUGAAAUGCGUAGAUAUCACGAGGAACACCAGUGGCGAAGGCAGCUUACUGGACAGCGACUGACGUUGAGGCUCGAAAGCGUGGGUAGCAAACAGGAUUAGAUACCCUUGUAGUC
rnacentral:rRNA from 1 species